GAAGUUGGUCGGAUGGUCGCUGGAAGGUUUACCUUUCAGAGGAAAGUCCGGGCUCCACAGGGUAAGGUGCCAGAUAACGUCUGGGCGGCGUGAGCCGACGGCUAGUGCCACAGAAAAUAUACCGCCUCAUUCGUGAGGUAAGGGUGAAAUGGUGCGGUAAGAGCGCACCGCGCGGCGGGUAAUCGUCGUGGCAGGGUAAACCCCACCGGGAGCAAGACCAAAUAGGAAACCACUCGGCUUCGCGGCUGAAAAGGUACGACCCGUACCGGUUUCGGGUAGGUUGCAUGAGGUGUCUGGCGACAGGCAUCCCAGAUGAAUGAUUGUCCAAGACAGAACCCGGCUUACAGAUCAACUUGUUUU
rnacentral:RNase_P_RNA from 1 species